AGGUCAAUCAUUUGUAUGGUUGUGGAGAAAUACUGAUUUCAAAUACAUAAGGGGAGAAAACUCCUAUAAGGGUUAACCAAAACACUUCGACUGAAAUAGGUUGAAGUUGCGCCUUUUUGUAAACAGUAAUUUGGCAAACAAAUCAUAUCAUUAACUGUAACAGUUUCUUUUGAAUAACGAUAACAAGCAAAAUUCAAAAUUUAUAAUAUGACCUUGACCUUUGAUUUUUAUCUCAAUUUCAAGGUCAUAGGUCAGUGAACUCAAAAUAGAAG
rnacentral:lncRNA from 1 species